rnacentral:rRNA from 1 species
UAGAGUUUUGAUCCUGGCUCAGGAGAACGCUGGCGGCGUGCCUAAUACAUGCAAGUCGAGCGAACAGAUAAGGAGCUUGCUCCUUUGACGUUAGCGGCGGACGGGUGAGUAACACGUGGAUAACCUACCUAUAAGACUGGGAUAACUUCGGGAAACCGGAGCUAAUACCGGAUAAGAUUUUGAACCGCAUGGUUCAAUAGUGAAAGACGGCCUUGCUGUCACUUAUAGAUGGAUCCGCGCCGUAUUAGCUAGUUGGUAAGGUAACGGCUUACCAAGGCAACGAUACGUAGCCGACCUGAGAGGGUGAUCGGCCACACUGGAACUGAGACACGGUCCAGACUCCUACGGGAGGCAGCAGUAGGGAAUCUUCCGCAAUGGGCGAAAGCCUGACGGAGCAACGCCGCGUGAGUGAUGAAGGUCUUCGGAUCGUAAAACUCUGUUAUCAGGGAAGAACAAACGUGUAAGUAACUGUGCACGUCUUGACGGUACCUGAUCAGAAAGCCACGGCUAACUACGUGCCAGCAGCCGCGGUAAUACGUAGGUGGCAAGCGUUAUCCGGAAUUAUUGGGCGUAAAGCGCGCGUAGGCGGUUUUUUAAGUCUGAUGUGAAAGCCCACGGCUCAACCGUGGAGGGUCAUUGGAAACUGGAAAACUUGAGUGCAGAAGAGGAAAGUGGAAUUCCAUGUGUAGCGGUGAAAUGCGCAGAGAUAUGGAGGAACACCAGUGGCGAAGGCGACUUUCUGGUCUGUAACUGACGCUGAUGUGCGAAAGGCGUGGGGAUCAAACAGGAU